rnacentral:rRNA from 1 species
GACGAACGCUGGCGGCGUGCUUAACACAUGCAAGUCGAACGGAAAGGCCCUGCUUGCAGGGUACUCGAGUGGCGAACGGGUGAGUAACACGCGGGUGUUCCGCCCUGCACUUCGGGAUAAGCCUGGGAAACUGGGUCUAAUACCGGAUAGGAGCCAUUUUUAGUGUGAUGGUUGGAAAGUUUUUUCGGUGUAGGAUGGGCUCGCGGCCUAUCAGCUUGUUGGUGGGGUAAUGGCCUACCAAGGCGGGGACGGGUAGCCGACCUGCGAGGGUGGACGGCCACAUUGGGACUGAGGUACGGCCCAGACUCCUACGGGAGGCAGCAGUGGGGAAUAUUGCACAAUGGGCGCAAGCCUGAUGCAGCGACGCCGCGGGGGGGAUGACGGCCUUCGGGUUGUAAACUCCUUUCGCUAGGGACGAAGCUGUUUGUGACGGUACCGAGAUAAGAAGCACCGGCUAACUACGUG